rnacentral:rRNA from 1 species
UGUUUGUUUUUUAAAGCGCAUGGUGGAUGCCUUGGUAUGCUGAGCCGAUGAAGGACGUGGGAGGCUGCGUUGAGCCUCGGGGAGUUGUCAACCAAGCGUUGAUCCGAGGAUGUCCGAAUGGGGAAACCCGG